UUAAGUUCAGCGGGUAGUCUUACUUGAUUUGAGAUCGAGUUUAACAAGAAUCGUUGCCGACCCUUGUGAAAUCCUGCAUCAGUCAGCCAAAACGGCCAAACUCCCUUUACAUUAGCUGCAGCAAAAGUAAUAAUCCGUUUGACGGGACUAAAUAAAUAUGCUUUUAGCUCAGGAGAAUGUCCAGCUGCACCUGCAUUUCA
rnacentral:misc_RNA from 1 species